rnacentral:rRNA from 1 species
UNCGACGCUUUUUNUUUNCCGGNANCUUGCUCCACCGAAGAAAAAGAGUGGCGAACGGGUGAGUAACACGUGGGUAACCUGCCCAUCAGAAGGGGAUAACACUUGGAAACAGGUGCUAAUACCGUAUAACACUAUUUUCCGCAUGGAAGAAAGUUGAAAGGCGCUUUUGCGUCACUGAUGGAUGGACCCGCGGUGCAUUAGCUAGUUGGUGAGGUAACGGCUCACCAAGGCAACGAUGCAUAGCCGACCUGAGAGGGUGAUCGGCCACACUGGGACUGAGACACGGCCCAGACUCCUACGGGAGGCAGCAGUAGGGAAUCUUCGGCAAUGGACGAAAGUCUGACCGAGCAACGCCGCGUGAGUGAAGAAGGUUUUCGGAUCGUAAAACUCUGUUGUUAGAGAANAACAAGGAUGAGAGUAAAACGUUCAUCCCUUGACGGUAUCUAACCAGAAAGCCACGGCUAACUACGUGCCAGCAGCCGCGGUAAUACNUAGGUGGCAAGCGUUGUCCGGAUUUAUUGGGCGUAAAGCGAGCCCAGGCGGUUUUUUAAGUCUGAUGUGAAAGCCCCCGGCUCACCCGGGGAGGGUCAUUGGAAACUGGGAGACUUGAGUGCAAANAAGAGAGUGGAAUUCCAUGUGUAGCGGUGAAUGNCCNUAAAU